CCCAUGAUUUCAGAAAACUUAAAGGUAUAGGGUACAAUUUUUUCUGUCAAAAAAAAAAAAAAUUCUUAUUAUUGAAUAUGAGGGUAAAAUGCCCCUAGGGGAUUUAAAGUGAUAUCGUGUAGAUACCUGGGCAAUAGUAAUAGGGCACAAUUUGGCAACUAGCGCAAAUAAUGUUGAGACAGCCAUUUGUUUUUGUUUUUUUUUUUUUUUUUGUUUUUUCUUUUCUUUUUUUAGUAACAAAUUAAGAUGAUGAUUACUCAAAAUAACCACUUCAGAAAAAAAAAAAAUUCAACCAUUUUCUGUUAAUUUCAAUCACAUUUGGCAUUUUAUUACAUCUCAAGUAUUCUAUAAACAAACUAAUCUCUAUUAUGAUUGGAUGAGUCCAUUUGAGCCCAAUUUGAACAAGUUCAUAACAAAUAUAUUUGCCCCACUUAAGAAAACCAUGUGUUUUAUAGGGGCCUUUAGCCCCUGCAACAGGGGCUUUUUACCCCAAAUGCUGUCCUUUCACUUAUUGGACCAUUAUUGAAAAAUGUUUGGUUUAAUGACCUUAAACAAAACUGAAAAUGAUAAAUAGGUAUUUUUCUCAAAUUAGCUACAUAAAUUUGCAACAUUUUAAAGAAAAAGAUAAAAUUAGAUCAAAUUGCAAAGAUCUCAUGGAUCAGGAAAAUGUUUCAGUGUAUAGUAACAAACAGAUGUUUAGGAAAGUCCUGUGGUACUUUUUGUUGCUAUUUAGUGUUUUGGGAGAAAAUAAAAUCAAUGGAGCCUUUUACCCCACAGAGCCUUUAGCCCCAUUGUACCCUACAGUAGUUCACCCAAAAAUCUCAAUUCUGUCAGAAUGCACUCACCCUCAAGUCGUUUUAUAACCAAAGGACUUUCUUUCUUUCUUUGGUGAAACACAAAAGGAGAUAUUUUAAAGAAUGUAACGUUCCCUGAUUUCCAUAAAAUGACAGUUAAAAAAGCACCCACAAGUUUAAUAAGAAUAGUCCAUUCAACUUGUGCAUACAUAUUCCAAGUCUUCUGAAGGCAUACAAUAGGUUUUGGUGAGAAACAAAGUGAAAUGACAUGAGGGUGAGUAAAUGAUGACAGAUUUGUCAUUUUUGGAUUAACUAUCCCUUUAAAACAUAAGUUUAUUUGGUCUACAAUGUUAAAUUGUGAGGUUUCCAUAACACUGGCUGCAAUAGAAUAUGUAAUAAUGUGUGACAGAUUAUUUCUUUAAUUAGUAAUUAAGUUGUUUUAACUAACCAAGUCCCUUGUAUAUGUCCUUUAAUUAAUUGUAGAACGCAAUCAUAUAGAGAUUAGGUGAAAUUUAUUUGUCGUAUUCAGUGUAUAGACACAAGAAAAGCAAAAUACCAUUUAACUGCUGACUUUGUGUCUUCUUAGAAAAUGAUUUAAUACACCAGAAUUCUUCUUCUUUUUUUCUUUUUCUUUUUUAAAUUAGAUUGUAGGAGAUAAUUUAUAAAACGUACUGUGUAGUGUCAGGGGAGUAUAAUGGUGAAGAGAAGAUAUUGUGUAUUUUUGGAGCUGGGUCAGGAAAGGCCAUGUAGUAGUUUGUGAUGCAGUGUACAGUAUUGUUUCUGCAAUGGAUAUUGCAAUGCUGGUAGUUUAUACGAUUUGCUGGUAGCUAUUUAAAGUUUAAGUUGAAUGAGAAAGAACAAGAGUCUUUUUUACAUGAUGCCCAUUGUAAGAUUGUGGCGCAGAGGGUUCCUGAGCCCACCUUUUGUCACCCUGGCUGAAUUGGAGUGCUAAAGCAGAUUGGCAUUCCAUCUUUCCCAUGACCCAAACUUUUGCAGAAGUGCUAGCCUCAUUCAGCACGUGAUUUUCCUUGUGUUUAACAGGGCAGGCAAUGGUGCCAGGGGUCUGCCUUGGAGUUGAGGUUGAUUCCACAAUUACUGGGAAUGAACAGUGUUUGAGGGCCCUAUUACCCCUGAUUCAUCCUCGGUGAUGACAAAAUGUAAUUGAUGAGUGCUGAUGAACGAUAUUGGAAUAUUUUCAGGCAAGUUUCUUUUUUGAAACCGAAAUGGCAAACUCCUUUCAUUUAAAGGUGCACUCAAAUUUUCCUCAUUCAAAAAAAAGUAUACCCCUAAAUAAAUAUUUUAAUUGUAGUAAUUGUAAAAGUUAUUCUGCUUUUGAAAAAUAUGUUAAAAACUUCCAUGCGAUGAAGGCAUCUGUCAUAUCAGCAACAUAAAGCUUUCAUUUUACAUGGAGCUGAUUUUUGAGAUCAUAUGACCAGCUGAAUACUACUCAUUUUAUCUCAGUGACCCCCUAAUCAUCAGACUCUUUCAUUCAUUGAAUAAAAUAAUAAUAGCUAACUGCGAAAAAUGCAUUUCUACAAUGGCAUCAGCAACUGAAAACCUUUGCUUUUGCUGAUGCUGCAUCCACCUCGCUACUUGUCAGUAUAAGUCCAAAACGACGUAAACAAAAAAAUGCUCUGUGCACCUUUAAACAUGAAAAUAUAAAUGCCUCCCAACCUGAAGGUCUCAGGGCUCUCCAGUCAGCAGAAGCAUCUCUCCUGUUCAGACUUGCACGGCCCACCGCCUGUCCUGUGAAGAUUUGCACUGCUCCAUUUUCAUCUUUCUAAAGCUGUCAACCCUCUGGCCAGGGUGAGAUUGUGGGCUCAGUAGAACAGGGGUCUGAUCAUGGUUUCGCCAGCACAGUGGCUCUGUAGAGAGCUUUGUGAGCAUGCCGUCUUCUUCUUCGUUUGCUUUCAGUGUUGAAUAAAAUUGGCUACGCAAGACUGACUUCAAAACACUUCACAAGAGUGGGUCGUUACCCUUAACGUGUGCUUUUUAAAGUGGCCACAGGUGAUGAUUGAACUUGCUAUGACAUUGAUGAUGCAUUUAAGCUGAUGCAUGUAAAAAUAAACUGAUCUCAUUGUUUUAUUUCGAAACCCUUGACUAAUAUUUUUUAUUGAACAGAUUAUCAUGUUCAUGCGUGUUGUUGAAAUUUUGAACACAUUUAUUUUGUUUAUAAAUGCUUACCGUCUAUCCAGUAGAAUGAGGGGGGGGGAAAGGCUAAAUGUACAUAAAAAGGUUUUUUGUAUGAGAAAAUAUGUUUUUGUUUGUAUGUUUGAAUUUAGUAGUCAUAAGCUUGUGGCCAAGCCACAAAAAAUUGAAAGCUCCUUCUAAAGGAUCUGCUGUUGAAAGUAUAAUGUCAGCACCAUUACCACACACUUUUCACACAGUUAUCAGGUAUUAUUUUGCUCAGAAAAUACAGACUCCAGUAAAUUCAGCAUCACUUGUCAUCAUUUUAAGCAGAGCCAACAGCUUCAUUGAGCUUUGAUAAAUUUUAUGCAGAUUCCAUUGCUUCUUCUUAUGUUUUCUUUUUUUGGUAAUCUUUAAGAUUUAUUUUUAAGUUCUGCACUUAUUUUGUUUUCCUCUUUGGCAUGCAAACAUUAUAACCUUCAAACACACUUUUUUCUGUACUUCUACUUGGAAGAUUGCACUAGAUAAUCUGGUAUUGAAACUUUGUCUAAUAAUACUUCUUUUUUUAAAGAUUUGCUUCUCUGAGGAUAUUUCUCAGCCUUGAUCUAUCAUGAUGCAGAUAGACUAAUGAUAAGAAUGUAAGAAAGAGACAGAGAAAGAGAGAUCACAGCUGCUUGAAUGGCACCCUUUUAUUUGCCUUUUGUUGUGUCAUUUAUAUGAUAAAUAAAUUUAUACGAUACAGUUACCCAACUCCCUGCUGAAAAAUCCAUCGUAGCUGGUUUCUUGCCUGUUCAUUCUGGUUAUCAGCUGGUCCAAUUUCGUCAUCGGCUGGUCGACCUGCCUCCAUUUAUAGUAUGGAUGACCAGCUUGUUGCGUAUUUGUUGCUGGUCCAAGAUGGUCUUAAUUUUUUUUUUAAGUCUCUUGAGAUUAAAAUCUCUUUUCCGAGAGAGUCCUGGUCUACCAUCUUGGACCAGCUACCAUGUUUCAAACCAUAACUUCCAGUGCAAGUUGGAUUUUCCGGGAGGGAUACAAACCUUGGAGGUCAGUCAGAUUGGAUUAUUGAGGUUAAGGUAUGCACAGCCAGUUUAUUAAACCACUGUUGGACAAUCAGUGGCAUGACUGAUUUACCUCGUUUGAGCGAGUUUUAUGCAGCAGUGUGUAUGAACAAAUCUCACUCUUCUGAGUGCCUUCCUGGAUUCAAACUAUAGCUGAAUGUUGAGUUCAAAACGCAGUGCUUUGUUUGACCCAGCCACCUGCUGCAGAUGUGAGGUAGUAGACAGGUUGUGGGUUUACACAGUAUGUGACUUGUUGUGGUGUGAUAUACCACUGUUUUUGUAAGCUACUCAUACCUGUAUUUAGCAGAAUUUAUGGAAUGUGCUUACUUGUAUCACUGAAAAGAUUGUUUAAUUCCAAGGUCCAGAGACUUUAAUUAGUUUAUGACACAUGUAAUUUCACUGAACAGAAUGUUCAAAGGCAUAUAAUGCUUAUUUUCAUGGCUCAGUUUUCCUACUUUCCAUUAACCCACUGACAUAAAGAGGAUGUGAAGGAAUUAGACUUGCUUGAGUGUUUCACUGUACCGUUUUCUUUUCUUGUUAGUGCCAUUUAGACCUUGCAAUAUCAUGAACUUGGCACAUGCGAGGUAGAGAGAAAUGUAAACUUGUGCCCAGGUCUUUGCUGCUUCUCUUCUCAGUAAGGGCUGGACAACCUCUUCAGGGCUGAAGCACUAUAAUGCAAUUUCUGCAUAUUCCUUCCUUCCUUCCUUCCUUCCAUUUUCAUUGUUGUGACAUCAGUUGAUACAUGACAUGCUUGAUAUCAGAAGAAGCUGGAGAGUUUAAAAUGGAUUGCUCUGUUGGGUGAUGUGCAGUUAUGUCAGUCUGCACUGGUUUGGAACCCUGGAGAACAGCUCAAUCAAGCUUUUUUAGUCAAAAAUCAAACUAGUAGUGAGACACUAAGAGUAAUUUUUAAAUGAUCUGAAACUAUGGAACAUCAGCUAUGCAACUUAACCUAGCUUUAUUGAAAUCUUUGUGCAGAAAAUUUUCUGAAACUUUGAAAUUGACUUUAUGCAAAGCAGAGCUAAUAUUAAGGACCCUUUUAAUGUGUCCGAGGCCAUGCAAGCUAAGCUAAACCUACCAUUAUAGCACUCAAAAAUGUGAAAAAAAGAUUAGGCUAGCUUAGACUAGCUAGUUUAAAAAAACAAUUCUGAAGCCAUUGACUGGUUUGAGCUUGUCUUUGCCCAGUUGUGUUUUAGCUCCUGAAAGUUGGCAUGUGGCUUUACGGCCAUCAUAUGAGAGGGUUUCACAGACCUAUUUGUGUAUAUGUGAGGUCAUUGGUUAUACCGACAUUAACCCAUGCUUACUUGAAGUAUGUAAUUCAAACUGCUCAAACAUUGCUGAUGAUUGAGCUGUGGGGGUGAUCAAGGUUUUUUAAUCCAAACUUUAAUUACAUUUCAUUAUAGAUUGUAGGGUGACACACUGUAUAUAUUGACAACAGUUCUAUAGCAGAUUAAUAUUAAAAAUAUUAAAUAUGAAAAAAAACAUCCUUAAUUUUUUUUUUUUUAUUUCUAUUGAUUUUAGGCACCCUUAUUAUCUCUUAACAGUCCCAAUACUUUGAUAUAUUAAAAAAUACCAAAAUGGAUAAAAACACUUUUUUUUAUUUCACUGCUUUGGUUUCUGUUCUUCUGUUAGUUGUACCACUGAUGUCAUCUCUGCAGUGUUGGCCUGGAUUGGAUAGUUUGUGUUUAUCAAAUACUUAUCAAAGGAGUCAGAUUUGCCAAAGCAUAACACAACUUCUUAGUGCUGCAACAUAUUCACAAUGACAAAAGUUUUGGAAUAUUACAGUUUGACUGUAAGUCUGGCCCUAUGGGUAAAAAUAUGACUUUUAAAAGGGGUUGAACAAUACCUGUUAUUCAUUGUCUCUAUUCAAAUGGGAGAAAAGGCCAUUUCUGGGCUUUGUAGUUAUGCAUGUGUAUCAUGAAUGAAUUGCCAAAAACACCCUGACACACCGCCUACUCCAAUAGCCCAAUUUCAAGAAUUUUGAUACCCCAGUAUUGCAUCUACUGUAUGCUUCAAAUUCAUGGUGCCCUCUUACCAUUAGAACAAUUAGUUUGUUUCACUUGUUUUGUUUGUAAAUUUAAUUAAGAUUUAGUUUCUAUGACUUUUUCUAUUGUUGUUUGUUUUGAAAGCAUGCUGUUUUCUCUGUGUUUGGAGGCUGACUUUGAGGUGAAAGAACGAAGGUUGAAAUAUUUUUCAGAGAGCAUUCUAAUGCAGUGUUAAAUUUCAAGGUUUUUGUUGGUUUUUCCUUCCUCUUUUUUUAAUCACAUUAUUCUUUACAAAUAUUACCAUAGUAGUUACUCAUUAAGCGCUUGCUUGCUGCACAGAUAAACACACUUCACACCAGGAUGGGGCAUGUGGCCAUUUAGUUCAUACACACUCUAUAGAAUAACUCCCACAACUGGCACGAUAACAUGCAUCCAUGUUCUUUUGGAAAGCAUCAGAUUUUUGUUACUUGUCUGUGUUCCUCUAGAACCUCGCUAAAAGUCAGCAAAAGUCGGUAUUGUCAGUUUAGAAACAUAUGAGAAAAGACUUUCUGUUUUUAUCAUGCACAACAAACUAAAUUUGCCAUGUGUUUUUGAACUGGUGUGAGUGGUAAAUUACAGCUUUAACAAUAGUUCAUUAUAACAUUGUAUUCAGCCAUCGCUGUUCGCAAAAAAAAAAAAAAAAAAAAAAAAAACGCUCAUGAAUACAAUACUGGAAGUGAGUAUGUUUCCCUAUGCAAAAAAAGUAAAUACAAUUAAAAUGAAAUAAAAAAAAUAAACAAAGCUAUGCUACAACUCAGAAAUGAGGUGACUUUGUGUUUUUCUUCCAAUCAGUUUGAGAACUGCUUGAGAACUUGUAUGUUCCUGUAUGUAAUUGUUCUGUAUGUUGAUGGAUCUUGAUUAUCAGUCAUGUGUGUUUUGGAAGUGUAAUAAUGUUGCUGUGUAUAUGUUGGAUAUUUUAUGCACUGUUAUAUUUUAGGUCAUUCUUCACUGUGGCCCUGGGCGAAGACAGGCCUCACGCCUGAGGACAAGCUAAUUUUAGCUCAGUCGAAGCUCUCUCACCACCCCUCUUACAGAUCCUGAGGAGGGAAAAUUGUUCCAGGAUGUGGCAUGAUGUUCUAUUUAUUGCAAUGAUGCAUUAAAUGUCCAGUUUAAGAGUCCCAUGGCAGAAUACAUUUUGGGUAUUGCAAUACAUUGCGAUUGGUGCCAUCGCUAAUUAGUAAGUGUGUAGGUCGUUUUUCAACUAUUUUUGAAAAAAAAAACUUUGGAAAAAUUGCCUUAUUUCUCAGUGAAUAGUCUACAUGUCAAGUCUGCUUUUCUAAUUAGAUAUAUUUUUCAUGAUACAUCUUAGAUGAUCUUAGCUUUAAUUCUGCGAGAAGAAACUGCAAAGAACAGAAGAAAGGGAAUGAAAGAGUGAACUGUACACUUGCAGUUGGAGGUUUGUUUUCAGUUCACCUGACACCUGACUCUAAUCAUACUAAUCCAUUACCCCAGAUACAAGAUUGCUGGAGCCGCAUUUGGAAAAUUAUAAUUUCAGUUUUGGAAAGGAAAUCAAGUUUUAUUUCAUUUUAAUAGUUCAAAAUAACAUGAGCCAGCACAAGUUCUUUUUUUAUAUAAAAGAAUGUAAAGGGUUUUAUGUAAAGGGGGUGAAUGUGUAAAAUAGCUCUAGUUGAAAGCUUAGCGUGAACCUCACCAAAAGCCAUUCAUGAGCUCACUGCAAAAUGGAAUCAAAUUGCAUUAUAGACACUAACCAGAGGUACCUGUUGAAUUUCAGUGUACUUCAGUGUUUCCGUGAAACGAUAGCCUGCGGAUACCACUGUAAUCAUACUCUCGUAUGAUUCUGUUUCACAAAUUGUAUCUCCAUACUGCUUUUUUUGUGAGGUCUAUUACAAUAUAUGUAGUUUGGAAAUAAAUGUUAUAUAUUUACAGUAUGAAUAGCCUUUAUAGUGGAUUUUGUUUUGGAGACUUGUGAGUUUAUGUAUUGAGUUUUUAAAUCAACAGAGGCCAAAGAGUUGUUCAAUGUUCAAAUUUCACAUAAAUGGCUAAUAAUGCAUAAAAGAAAUCAGUUACGAUAGUAAUGAUGCGAGGAACUGUGAUCACAAGUUGAAGUUCAUCCACAGGGUCAAGGAUAGACACUUAACCAGGAAGUUGCUAAAUACCACAAAUGUAAAGCCUCAAAAGUGAUAAGAGACAUAAAUGAGUCCUCUGAUUCAAAAUCUGUAAUGUUCCUGUAUGUGGCCUUGGAAAGGUAUCCAAUUAUUUAUAGGGAUUCAAUUUGGCAGCAAGAUGGGGAGAGCAAAAGAGCCUUGAUGUGGUGCCUGGUGUGACUAUUUUUAAUGAAACUUUAGUCAUAAUAGCCCAGCUCCCAAAAGAAUGGGCAGGCUUCCCCCAGCUCAGCACCUCCACUCCAAAGAAAACAGCAAGGCCUCAGGAGUCGCGUGAAAUGCAGCUCACACACUGGAUGAAACGCAGCUUGCUUCAUGAAAAGUCUCCAAAGGAAAAUUUUAAUUACAGGCUGAGCUGAUGUUGGCCCACUGAUGGGGACAGUACUGCCAUGCGUAUCAACACAGAACCUCAAGCAUAAGUCGUUGUCACAGAAGUAAACAUAAGGUAUAUAAGUGUGGCCACUUCAUGUAAUAAUGCUACAAUCUGUCUCUUUAAUAAUGUGGGCAGGCCAAAAGAGUAUAUAUUUGUAAGCAGGCAAGGUUGGCGGCUACUCCUCUCUCUUCCUCCUUUGGGACCGAAGGGAUUUUGGUGUGUACACUGGAGGAGCUGAACACGCAGCGCCGGUGGUCCUGGCGGAUCUGAAGGGGGUGGCGGAGGAGAAGGUAGAAAGGAAGGGCAGUCUCUGAUCUAUGCAAAUAGAAGGUGGCGGUAAAUGCCCUUACAAGUUUGCAAACCACCGUUAAUGAGAAAAAGAAGAAGUUGGUGGCUACUCACUUCCUGUUUACAUCCUGAUGCCAGUGCUAGCAUCGUAGCAGCAGAGCGUGUGUGAGCUGUGUGCAUUAUGGUCUUGUCCCAUCAGAGUAGACGAGGAUGUUCGCCUCUCAAAUUGGGAUGAUGAAUACGAGCUAAAGGCUUAUCAAUCGCUGUUCUUUCUUUGCUUGUGUUUUUUUUUUUUUUAUGUUUUUUUAUUUAUUUUUUAUUUAUUUUUUUGUUUGAUUUUGUUUUUUGUAAAUUAUGGUGAUUAGUGGUCUGUUUGCUAGCCAGCUUGCCCAGGUAUGUCUGUGUCAUUAGAGUUAGAAGCUGGCUAGCAAAUAUUUAUUUUCUUUUUGUAUUGUUUUGUUUUCCUUCCCAAGUUCUGAAUUGGAAAUUGCCUGAUCUGUUGUGUAGCCCUCCCAUGGUGGAGUGGGACAGGGGGAUUUGUUGCUUGCAUGUGUUAUGUUAUGGGUUGGUUUAUUGUUUGUAUUGUUUUAUUUUGUUUUGCUGUGUAUUUUAUUUGUGGUUAUUUUUUGGUUUAAAUAUACAAAUAUUUUUAUUUUAAGGAUGCAUUUAUUAUUUCACGAGUGUUUCUCCCCUUUGCCUUAUAUUUUAGACGGGAUUACUGCAAGUUGAUUUACGCACAGAGUUAAAAUCCAUGUGUAAAGAGAUCAGAGUGAAGAAGACUUUUACAUGUGGUGUUGUUUUUAUUUAUCCAUGUUAUUUAAUGCUCUUUAAUAAAUGUAAAACACUGUGGCUCUUUUACAAUUAUUUGCCCUUUAUUAUGAUUAAUAUUUGAGAUGAAUUGUCAAUAAAAUUGUAAAUUGCCUUCAGUUUUUUUCUGCAGGAAGAUGCAGAGAACAUUUUUGAUGUUUUGAUUGAAUUGUACUCUUGCUCACAUUAAUUUGUUUCAUUACAAUGACAGUGUUUUGAUCGUAAACAAGGAGGGAGAGACAUUACAAGCGUUUUCUUUUUGAAUUGAUGACUCUGGAGAAGGUAAAAAAAAAAGCUAUCCAAAUGCUGUUCUUAAUCCUGAUGUUAUUUUGCGCAAUCAAUUUUGUGAGGGUGUAAAUGAUCAUAUGCUAUGUCGUGAAUUAAAGAAGACUCUACAUGUUGACAGCAUGUAGAGUCAACAUUUCUUGAUCUUCGGAAAGAAGCUGUCCAUUGUGGUGGAAGAAGGACAGCCCUCAAGAGAGAGACAGGUGCGCUAUUCAUCUCAACAGUAUGAAACUCAAAGUUGUGGUGAAUACAGAGGCAGUUGUAGCCAGGUAGUCAGAGUUUGAGGAACUUAAACAAUUGGUCUUGAAACAACAGGCUCAGCUAGACAUGCUUGUUAAAUCUCUGAGAGGAAGUUCAAGUAACUUAUCUAAUAGGACAAGGGUGUUAACACAAAGGAGUAGAUUUAGACAUACUGUCUAUGGGCAGUCUAUUUGUAUAUGUUGUGAUGAACUGGGGCAUAUUGCCCGUUACUGCAGGCAGACUAAUAAAACUGGGAAUUUAUAGUACAAUGGCUAGUACUUCUGCAAUAUCUACCGUCGAGCAGACUAGUUUGUCGGAAAACUAGGACCCCCCAGCCUGCAGAGCCACAGGCUGGAGGAGGGGGGUGAGGGCUCUAGUGUAAAUACAUCUGAGGUUCCCAAUCAUUUGAUUAGUUCAUGCCCAAUUGUUGAUGUGCAAAUGGGAGGUGUUAUAGUACCAUGUCUAAUAGAUACUGACAGUAUGGUGACUACGGUGAUGGAACAGUUUUUUAAAUUGCAUUUUCCGCAUUUACAAGAAAGUGGAGUACAGGAGUGUAGCUGGUUGGGUUUAAAGGUUGCAAAUAGACUUGAUAUUCACUAUGUAGGGUACACUGAGUUAUGCGUCAAUGUGUUUGGGACACAAGUUCCAAGAUGUGGCAUUUUGAUUGUAAAAGACCCUGUUAAUUCCAGUUUUCAGAAUAAAAAAAUGGUAGUACCAGGGAUUUUGGCGAUGAAUUUGAUAAAUUUAUUUUAUUAUGAGUUGUUUUUGAAGCAUGGGCUGUGUGUGCAGAUGGCAACACCGGCAUGGAAGCACGCCCUUCAGUUUUGUCAGCAGACAGAAGUGAUAGUUAACUCUUCAACUUAUGAGGUGAGGGUUCAGGGUAAGACAGCUGUGUGUGUUGCUGCCGGGACAUUGACACUGGUACCUGUGAAAUGUCCACAGGUUGCAUUGACCGUGGCACUGAAUUUUUGCUAGAACCCCCAGACCCAGAUGAAGGUUUUCUCCCAGAGAGCUUAUUAGUCU